rnacentral:rRNA from 1 species
AGCGAACGCUGGCGGCAGGCCUAACACAUGCAAGUCGAACGAACUCUUCGGAGUUAGUGGCGGACGGGUGAGUAACACGUGGGAACGUGCCUUUAGGUUCGGAAUAACUCAGGGAAACUUGUGCUAAUACCGAAUGUGCCCUUCGGGGGAAAGAUUUAUCGCCUUUAGAGCGGCCCGCGUCUGAUUAGCUAGUUGGUGGGGUAAUGGCUCACCAAGGCUACGAUCAGUAGCUGGUCUGAGAGGAUGACCAGCCACAUUGGGACUGAGACACGGCCCAAACUCCUACGGGAGGCAGCAGUGGGGAAUCUUGCGCAAGGGGCGAAAGCCUGACGCAGCCAUGCCGCGUGGAUGAUGAAGGUCUUAGGAUUGUAAAAUCCUUUCACCGGUGAAGAUAAUGACUGUAGCCGGAGAAGAAGCCCCGGCUAACUUCGUGCCAGCAGCCGCAGUAA